GGUAGUGUUGUUUAGUGGUAGAGGACAUGCUUGGCAUGCAUGAGGACUUGGGUUCUACCCCCAGCACCGACA
rnacentral:tRNA from 1 species